UGCCAGCCGCCGCGGUAAUACGGAGGGGGCUAGCGUUGUUCGGAAUUACUAGGCGUAAAGCGCGCGUAGGCGGAUUGGUUAGUUGGGGGUGAAAUCCCGGAGCUUAACUCCGGAACUGCCUUCAAAACUGCCAGUCUUGAGUCCGAGAGAGGUGAGUGGAAUUCCUAGUGUAGAGGUGAAAUUCGUAGAUAUUAGGAAGAACACCAGUGGCGAAGGCGGCUCACUGGCUCGGUACUGACGCUGAGGUGCGAAAGCGUGGGGAGCAAACAGGAUUAGAUA
rnacentral:rRNA from 1 species